CAGAGGCAGUUUCCUACUGGUAUCUGAGACCGAAGGAGUUCCCUGCCAGCAGCCAGGGAGAGAGAAGCUCCUGGAGCAAUGAUGCGGGGAGAAGCCUGACUGCAGCUUGAGACCAUCGGUCCUUGGUCUGUCAUCUGCCACCACUGAGAACAGUCCAGCUCCAUUUUUGGAACCGCCCUGCAGGAUCUCAUGGUUGCUGGAACUGGUUAAGAGAAAAAUAUAGUUCUCCUCAUUCUAUCAUGCUGAUAUGGACUUAGAAGAAACUCUGGAUUGCAACAUGUAAUGUAUUAAAUCCUCAGUGGGGUUAUCUAAUUUUACUAAGGAAAAAGCCCUGUCCUGCAAGGUAUCUGUGGCUAUAGCUUGUGUUUAUACCAAUUCGUUUGUGGGAUAGAAGCCUAUUUUUGUUUGACUGUUGGGUUCAGUGCAAUAAUAUAUUAUGACCACUGUGCCGUCAGUGCUGGAGAGAUUGCUGUAAUAUGGAUGAUGAUUUCCUGUGCUGUAUAGAUAGCCUUUCAUUCAAAUGAAUCCCUCAGUGUUUUGCCCAUUGCACUGAUUCAUGGUACAAGCUAUUCCAUAUUUAAUAUAGUUAAUUUAUUUUAUAACAAAACCUCCUUUAACCACUCUUAAGUCUUAAUAACCCCCUUUAAUCAUUUUUCUGUCUUGUGCUCUGAAUACUAAAAUGCAGUGUGUACCUGAUGCCUCUACUACAUCUUACAAUAUAUAGCAGAAUUGGCUAAAGACCUGAACAGGCCGAAGUGAUGCAAUAUCCUACUUAACAGCAUCCCUAAAAGGUACAAGAACAAACACUGUAACAGCUCUGCACAAAUGCCUCUGUGGAUAAUGGCAAAAAGAGGACUCCAUUUCUUACUAUGCUCUUCCCACCAAAAUGGUGGGAAAUACAUUUGGGAAGCAGCAGCAAUAGCUUGAGACAUGCUGAAAACAAUCUUUGGGGCUAGCAUCCACCCUUUUAAAAUUCACUCCAUAAGGCCAGGCAUGGUGCUCAUUGGUUUGUUUGGACCUUUGAAAAUUAAAGUAGGCCCAGAAUUUUUACAAAAUUACCUGUGAUUUGGGAUAUUUUAAUAG